CUCCGCCUCCGUAUAAGCUCGAG
rnacentral:siRNA from 1 species